GAGUUUGAUCAUGGCUCAGAUUGAACGCUGGCGGCAGGCUUAACACAUGCAAGUCGAACGGUAACAGAACUAGCUUGCUAGUUGCUGACGAGUGGCGGACGGGUGAGUAACGCGUAGGAAUCUACCGAGUAGUGGGGGACAACAGUUGGAAACGACUGCUAAUACCGCAUAAUCCCUGAGGGGGAAAGGAGGGGAUCUGUUUACAGACCUUUCGCUAUUUGAUGAGCCUGCGUGAGAUUAGCUAGUUGGUGAGGUAAUGGCUCACCAAGGCGACGAUCUCUAGCUGGUCUGAGAGGAUGAUCAGCCACACUGGAACUGAGACACGGUCCAGACUCCUACGGGAGGCAGCAGUGGGGAAUAUUGCACAAUGGGGGAAACCCUGAUGCAGCCAUGCCGCGUGUGUGAAGAAGGCCUUCGGGUUGUAAAGCACUUUCAGCGAGGAGGAAAGGAGUAUGUUUAAU
rnacentral:rRNA from 1 species